rnacentral:rRNA from 1 species
UUGAGCCUACGGGGGGCAGCAGUAGGGAAUCUUCCACAAUGGGCGAAAGCCUGAUGGAGCAACGCCGCGUGGGUGAAGAAGGUCUUCGGAUCGUAAAACCCUGUUGUUAGAGAAGAAAGUGCGUGAGAGUAACUGUUCACGUUUCGACGGUAUCUAACCAGAAAGCCACGGCUAACUACGUGCCAGCAGCCGCGGUAAUACGUAGGUGGCAAGCGUUAUCCGGAUUUAUUGGGCGUAAAGGGUGCGUAGGCGGGUAAGCAAGUCAGAAGUGAA